rnacentral:lncRNA from 1 species
CAAAUGUUUUCCUAAUUUAAUUAGAACACUAAAACUAAAACUAAAAAAAACUCCUAAUUAUUUUAAUAUGGAAAUUCGGCCAAGGGUCUUUUAUUUGGGACUCUUAGACUGAAUAUAAAUAAAUAAAUAAAUAAAAAUAAAACUUUACAACUUGGGUCACUUUGACAAUUUGGCCUGAUUUUCAACUAAGUAUGGGUGGAUUUCUUGAUUGGGCUUGGAAUCUUCUUAUUGGGCCUUACCCUCA